rnacentral:rRNA from 1 species
AGGCGGUUCGUCGCGUCCGGUGUGAAAGUCCAUCGCUUAACGGUGGAUCCGCGCCGGGUACGGGCGGGCUUGAGUGCGGUAGGGGAGACUGGAAUUCCCGGUGUAACGGUGGAAUGUGUAGAUAUCGGGAAGAACACCAAUGGCGAAGGCAGGUCUCUGGGCCGUCACUGACGCUGAGGAGCGAAAGCGUGGGGAGCGAACAGGAUUAGAUACCCUGGUAGUCCACGCCGUAAACGGUGGAUGCUGGAUGUGGGGACCAUUCCACGGUCUCCGUGUCGGAGCCAACGCGUUAAGCAUCCCGCCUGGGGAGUACGGCCGCAAGGCUAAAACUCAAAGAAAUUGACGGGGGCCCGCACAAGCGGCGGAGCAUGCGGAUUAAUUCGAUGCAACGCGAAGAACCUUACCUGGGCUUGACAUGUUCCCGACAGCCCCAGAGAUGGGGCCUCCCUUCGGGGCGGGUUCACAGGUGGUGCAUGGUCGUCGUCAGCUCGUGUCGUGAGAUGUUGGGUUAAGGCCCGCAACGAGCGCAACCCUCGCCCUGUGUUGCCAGCACGUCGUGGUGGGAACUCACGGGGGACCGCCGGGGUCAACUCGGAGGAAGGUGGGGAUGACGUCAGAUCAUCAUGCCCCUUACGUCCAGGGCUUCACGCAUGCUACAAUGGCCGGUACAACGGGAUGCGACACUGUGAGGUGGAGCGGAUCCCUUAAAACCGGUCUCAGUUCGGAUUGGAGUCUGCAACCCGACUCCAUGAAGGCGGAGUC